rnacentral:misc_RNA from 1 species
GAUGAAGAACGUAGCGAAAUGCGAUAAGUAAUGCGAAUUGCAGAAUUUCCGUGAGUCAUCGAAUCUUUGAACGCACAUUGCGCCCACUGGUAUUCCAUGGGGCAUGCCUGUUCGAGCGUCAUUUGUACCCUCAAGCUCUGCUUGGUGUUGGGUGUUUGUCCCGCUUCGCGCGUGGACUCGCCUUAAAGCAAUUGGCAGCCGGCAUAUUGUCUUGGAGCGCAGCACAUUUUGCGCCCCUUGUCAUGAAUGUUGGUGUCCAGCAAGCCUUUACAUUUGCUCUUGACCUCGGAUCAGGUAGGGAUACCCGCUGAACUUAAGCAUAUCAAUAAGCGGAGGA